rnacentral:rRNA from 1 species
UGGGGAAUUUUGGACAAUGGGGGCAACCCUGAUCCAGCAAUGCCGCGUGUGUGAAGAAGGCCUUCGGGUUGUAAAGCACUUUUGUCCGGGAAGAAAUCGCACCUGAUAAUACCGGGUGUGGAUGACGGUACCGGAAGAAUAAGGACCGGCUAACUACGUGCCAGCAGCCGCGGUAAUACGUAGGGUCCAAGCGUUAAUCGGAAUUACUGGGCGUAAAGCGUGCGCAGGCGGUUGUGCAAGACCGAUGUGAAAUCCCCGGGCUUAACCUGGGAAUUGCAUUGGUGACUGCACGGCUAGAGUGUGUCAGAGGGGGGUAGAAUACCACGUGUAGCAGUGAAAUGCGUAGAGAUGUGGAGGAAUACCGAUGGCGAAGGCAGCACCCUGGGAUAACACUGACGCUCAUGAACGAAAGCGUGGGGAGCAAACAGG